rnacentral:rRNA from 1 species
UUCGGAUUGUAGUCUGCAACCCGACUACAUGAAGCUGGAAUCGCUAGUAAUCGCAGGUCAGCAUACUGCGGUGAAUACGUUCCCGGGUCUUGUACACACCGCCCGUCACACCAUGGGAGCCGGAAAUGCCCGAAGCCAGUGACCCAACCUUAGGGAGGGAGCUGUCGAAGGUGGAGCCGGUAACUGGGGUGAAGUCGUAACAAGGUAAC